CCCGCUGUGACAGACUCUUUUAACACUUUCUCCCACCUGCAGGAUCUGACGUAGGAACUUGUCAGAGUUUCGGACUUCAGCACGAGUCAGCGUUCUACCGUCCUGUUGUGACACAGUGGCACAGGGUUGGCAAGCAGGCUCAGGGCCUGGAGACUUGGUGGCAUCCAGGUCACACCUACAGGGCACUCGGAAUGCGUGGGAUGAGAGAGGUACCUAAAGAUAAAGGCCAACACCAGUUGACACUGCCGGACCUCACCAGAGAAGAGAAGGCCUUGGGAAAGGUCAUAGUGAAGACUCAAUCCUACCUCCGUAUGCCUGCCACACAGUCGGAAGUUCCCCCAGCCAUCCUGCCUGCCCGUGUGAAGCUCCUCCAUGUUAGAAAAAUCAUCUACGCUUCCCAUCUAUUUUGAUGUGGAUUAGAGUGCAACCCCUCCAUCCGCCGACAUCGCCACACCCACAGGUGACCCCUCCAUCCGCUGACAGCUCCACACCCACAGGUGACCCCUCCAUCCGCUGACAUCGCCACACCCACAGGUGACCCCUCCAUCCGCUGACAUCGCCACACCCACAGGCUUAGCUCCAGACCCGUGGCCCGAGAAUGGACUAUUAGAAAGCCCUCUCUGCCUGAAGGGUGUAGCUCUCACCGCUCAUCAAAGAAACUUUCUUCUUCAGCAUACAGAAACCAGCUCAGAAAACCACAGCUGGUUCUUUGUGGUCCAAAUGCAGAAAACAAAUGAUUGUGGGGUGCCCGACCCAAGUGGAUAUAUCUGCAACAUAACUCAUGCACCCAAGACUCAGGAAACUUUGUGGGAAGUGGGGCAGAAAGAUGGCGAGAGCCAGAGGACUAGAAUGACUGCUGUGAGAUUUAGUCUCUUAAACUUAACAGGAAAGUUUCACCCAUGGUACCCCAACCAUAUGGCUGCCUGAAUAAAACCCAAACGAUGACAGCAUGAACAGGUAUGCUCCCAUGGAAGGGGACAUCUCGGGGGGCUACACCCAGAACCAAGAACUAGAGGUAACUAACAACUGCUAAUAGAGGGAGAGAUAGUCUUGGCCAGGGAUGAGCCCCGAUUACGGUUGUCAAUACAAAGUGGCCAUCCCUGAGAUCAUAUGCAUACAAAGAAGACUAAACUGACUAAACAGGUUGUAGUUAUGUACUUACGUGUUCACAUGCCAUAAUAAUCAUCAUCAAAGUAAAAGAGGCGAU